GGCAAUGUGCUCUUGAAAAGCUUAUGACAUAACACUUCAUGAAACCUUAUGAGAGGUUCAGGUACCUGAAAAUAAUGAAGUGCUGAGAUCUCAAAAUGUUAUAUCAAAAUGUGAACCGAUAUGAAAUGAUAUAUCAUCAUUAUCUUGGAUAAAAUAUUAUGAAAGAUUACGAGGAUCCGAAUUCUACAUUUAUUUAAGCAUGCUGACGUAGAAACAUUUAUCAAGUGACCUGAAAGGAUGCAUUUUGGUAAGCGUAAAACUUAUUUGAUUUGCAGUCCAGACACUUGGAGAUGUCACACUUGACAUGUUGGAUAUUGUUACUUGACAAUUCAUAUGAAAAUCCCUACAGGAUUCAAAAUGCUUGAAGCAUAUAAAGUUUCUGGAAAACUUGUUUAUUAUCCUUAUAAGGGAUAAAUUGAUGGUUUGAAAAUUAUUAAAAUUCUUGGAGAGUUUUAAAAAACAAUAAGAUUAUUUGUUGAAAUGAGAAACAUACCGAAUUGGAUUGGUCCUGAAGUACCAUAUCUUAGUCCAAUUGGUGUACUAAUGUAUCUUGCAAAUACUACAAGGCAUGAUAUAGCCUUUUGGUUAUUUUGUUAGCAAAGUAUAUUUCUGCUCCUAAUAAGAGACAUCAAAAUGGGAUAAAAGACAUGAGAUUACUUUAUUCUAAAGCUUGCAGUCCCGAUCUUGUUGGCUAUGCUGAUAUUGUGUGCUUAUCUGACCCACAUAAAGCUCGGUCUCAAACAUACUAUGUGUUCAUAUGUGGGGGUACUACCAUAUCUUAGAGAUAUACAAAGCAGUUUAUCUAGUCACUUCAUUGAACCAUGAUGAGAUAAUAGCUAUUCAUCAAGCUAGCCGAGAAUGUGUAUGGUUGAGGUCCAUGAUACAUGUCAUUCAAGAAAAAUAUGGUUUGAAAUGUGACAAUGUACUCACAUUUUAUACAGACAUAAUGUAGCAUGCAUAGCACAUCUUAAUAUGGAGGAUUCAUAAAAGGAGAUAGAACGAAACACACUUCAUUAAGGCUUUUCUAGAUACAUGAGCUUAAAAAAAUGGUGAUAUUAACGUUCAACAGAUUCGUUCAAGUGACAAUGUGGCUGAUUUAUUUACGAAGUCUCCUCCAAUGACAACUUUUAAGAAGAUGGUGCACAAGAUCGGGAUGCAAAGACUCAAGGAUGUUCUCAUUAAGGGGAGUUAAUACGCGUGUCACACCCUUCUUUAACCAAAAAGAAUUGAUUUUAAGGUUCGAAGGAUUUUUUAUGAUUAAAGUGACAAAAUGAUUGAAAAAUUUAUUUCGAAAAAGGAUUAUUUAUAUUCAAAACUUAGAGUCGCCACUUGGCAUAAUCGGGUGUGUCAAGUCACCUUUGGAAAAUCCUUUUCAAAAUGAUUUGACUCUUUAAACUGGUUUGCGAGCAGAGAUUCCGUCUAAGGAAUUCUGUUGACCGAGGGGAAGGUGCUAGGCACCCCUCGAUCCCGUGGUUCGACCACGGUCGCUUGAUGGAGUGUAUCGACUAAUUUUGACACCUAAAAAUGUAUGAACCACAUAAACACACAACACCAGCAAACAAAUAAAUCAAACAAAAUUCAAAAUCGAAAUAAUGUCCAGUCCGAAUUAUACAGUCCCAAAGAUAAGAAAAUACGAAAAUAUAAAUCCUAUUCUAGACUGAUCCUAAACUAUGAUCCAAUGCUUACCCGAUGCCUCGGGACUUCCUCACGAACAUCUUCCGCCAACAUAGUACGUCGGGGCAUUCUCCGGUGAAUAAAUACAAUGUGUCUCGGGGCAUUCCCCGACUAAAUGAAUAUAUUUUUAAAAUUUUGUGUGUUAAAAUAGAAAGAACCAUUCAACAAAUAUUCACACGUUCAACACAAUCACGAUCUUCCAUUUUUCUACAAUUUGCCUACCCAAACUUAGUAUUUGCCUACCCUUUUAACGAUCUAACACAUGAUACUAUCAAUGUCAGUAAUAUCCAACAAUGAAUAAAAACUAAUGAACGUUCAUCUUAUUCGAUUCUCAACUCCAUCCCCCAAAUUUCAUUCUCAAAAUGAUUAAACCAAUUCAAUACGCAAUCCACCAAUCAAGUUUUCAUAUCCAAAUCCAAAAUUAACCAACACACAACGAAAAUUCAAGCAUGUCAAACACACAAAUCACCCGAAAUUACGUAAAAAUUAAAAGGGAGAUUGAAAUGGACCUCAAUUAGGAUUUUAUUCCAAAUAUCAAUCAAUCGAAGGACGAAUCCACGUGCUGAAGAACCUCGAAUUAGCCUUGACAACCCGACUAACUUGAUAUCGCAAAUUACGAUCCGAAUAGAUUUGAAUCGAAGAACACAAACUCAAUAUAUACUGCCUAAUCAACAACUUAACAUAAACCAUAAACCCUCGAAGAUGAAAUUCCGAUCUCGAAGUCCAAGAGCAAAAUAAACCCACAUUGAAACAAAUUGAUGACGGACGACAAACCAACACUAGAUGAACUACAAGAAAACCUCAAAAUGAUAGACACCAGUUUAGUACCGUAUCCCAAUGACUCGAACAAAAUUUGAACAUACCAAAAUCGUAACGAAGAAAGAUGGACUAGUUGAGUUUAGAUCAGAUUUGCGGUUCUCUCGAUGGACAUGAUGUCUUGGUGGUUUAGAGGUAGAGGGGUAGUGUAUGGCGGUUGGUGGGUGUAUCUGGCUUACUGGUGACCCCGAAUUCUGGCGAAGUUUCGCUGGAAAAAUAGAGUGGCGCGAUCGGUUUCUCAUCCCGUUCUUCUCUCAAUCGUCGGGCUCUCUCUUACUCGAACCCUUUGAGCCCUAGAUCUGUCCUCUUUCAGGCCAACUCACUCGAUCUCUAUUUUCUUUUUUUGAUUUUCGUGUGUAUGUGUGUGCAAUCUGUGCGUGAGAGUGUAAUCUUCAAUGGAAUUUUUCUCCCAGCUCAUUGUGUGUAUAGUGUAUGUAUAUGGGUCUUCUCAAAAAAUGAAAAAAAUGGUGAGGGCUCUCUCUGUUCUUUCUAUAAAGAUUAUGAUGAAAAAACAAAAGGGAAAAAUCAGUGAAUUGUCUCCUCCCCUCUAAUCCCUAUGUGCGUGUAUAUAUAUUUUUGUGAGUGAGGUGUGGGACACGCGAGUGAGGUGAGGGGGUAGGGGUAGGGUAGGAAAUAUUGAAAUUUCCUGGGAGAUUUCUCGUGGGACCCCCUGGUAUAUGUGAUGUUGUGUAUAUUCUUUCUUUUUGGACAAGAAAAAGGAGGAGGGUCACAUGAGUGGGGGUAGGGUAGUGGGUGAG
rnacentral:lncRNA from 1 species